GCGCGGAGGAAGGGCAGGUGCGGCGGCCCGGCCCCCCUCGCAGCCCCGGCAGCCGCACACUCACCUGCGUCCGGUCGCGCCAGCGGCCGGCUCAGCCUCCGCGCGGACCUCGGCCGGCCCCGCGCCCGUCCGCUCCCCCCCGCCAGCUCCGCCCUCGCCCCGCCCCCGGGAGGUGGGCCUGGCGGCCGCGCCGAAAUCGCGAAGCGGCCUCCCUGAACUCUCGCGAGCCCUCCCUCCUCGGCGUCUGGGUGGCCAGGCUGUUCCGACUCGGCCCUGACGUCACACGCACCACAGCCGGAAGUAGCCUUGUGUCGUCAGCGCGGGCCUCCAGCCCCACCCAUCCGCGCCGGUGUUGAAAUUCCUGGGACUGGAGGAAUAGGCCAGGGGAAGAAUGUCUCUAACUCAUACCUACAAAGCAGCCCUACGUACUAUUAGAUGGUCUUACUGUGCUCCUUAAAGGGAAGGUGUCGGCAAACUACGGCUUGUGAACUAAAUCCAGCCUUCUACCUGUUUUUGAAAAUAAAGUUUUAUUGG